UUACAAUUUAUUGUUAUUAAUUAAAAUAGACUAUGAGUCCUCUAGACCCAAACCUACACCCAAGCCCAACAGGCAGAAAAAAUAGUCCAAACUAUGGGUUUGCCGUUCAAACUAAACCAAUCACAGUCAACGGAACCAAUCACAGUCAACCGGGUCAGACACUGACCUGCAACUUAAAUAGGUCCAAACUGACCAAACACAGCCCGACGUCGCCGAAGCCACCACGACACCCACUGGCUGCAACCCAUCACUACCACGCAUGGUUGGUCUGCUGGUGCAACCACCAUCGUCACAACAGACCAGAACCCUAACACGUAGAAACCGACCACAAAAUAUCGCAGCGUGAUCGCGGGAUCAAACCCCAAAGAUGCAACAACACAGAUUCAAAAGAAUUCAAAACUGUCAAGAUUAGAGACGCAAAAACAGAAACAAAAUUCCCAAUUGAAAAGCAAACUCCCAAUUUGCAAGAGCAGAUUUCAAAAUCCCAAAUGAGAGUUCCCAAAUUUGAAAAUCCUAAUUUCAAGAUAGAAAAACAAACACAGAAAGUCCCAAAAAAACCUCCAAACAAAUACGCGACCAAAUCAUCAAGAUCACAAAAUUUCCCAAACCAGAAUUCUAACUCUCAAAACGCAAAUGGGAAACAAGUACAAGAGCUCUCAAAACACAAAUUUAGAAACAAGAAUAAAUCACCUAAAAGAGAAUUUUUGAACAAGAUCGGAAAUCCCCAAAACGCAACAGAGUCUCCUUCCUCGUGACUCAACCCAAAAUCACAAAAUCAGAAACCUCAAAAUCCCCAAAUCGAAACCCUAACGCGAACGCCAUGCACCGCGAGAACGCUCUCUCCUCUUACAUCAUGAGUCAGAACAAGAAAGGGCAAAGGAGAAGGUCCAUCCGCACAACGAAGGACCCUGGAAUUCCACCACGAGCCGCCAUCGAAGGCGACAAUAUGCCUGAGUCGCGCCUCCCACGGUGUCUCCAUUCUUGCCGCCAUGAGGUCAUUACCAAUGCUCAAGACUCAGAACGUUCUCACCCCAAGACCGAGUGAUCUGCGAUAAGAAAAGAGUAAGAAGCUUGAAGCUUCUUAUUGCUCGCGUUAUAUGAAUAUGAGAAGGAAUUGGGAAAGAAUUUCCCUUCUGCGAUGUGGGGUCUUCCCCUGGUUCGAUUAUGAAUCCAAUUUCAGACCCUUCUUUAGGGUCUCAAACUCAGUGCCCCC
rnacentral:lncRNA from 1 species